GAGGUCCUGCCCUCGAAGCCAUACUUUGCGAUGGACCGAUGCUAUGACAUGAGGGAGCUCAAGAUAGCGCGUGAAAUGGAGAUUCGCAUCCGUUGAUGCGAAAGCCAGGAAGCGGGCUGCGAGCACCCACCUUUUGAGGUGGGUUCAUCCUUCUGGCCGGGGGCGGGGCUUUU
rnacentral:other from 1 species